AGAAUGAAUGCAUCAUUUAGCAUCUUCCAUGGGCAUGAGCUCUGUGGUUGCUUCUGUAUAAUAGGAGGAUGAAGAUUAAUAGUGGACACACUGGACCUGAAAGAAAGAUUCUUCCUUGAGCACCAGCCUAGGAUGGCAUCUUUGUUUUAGGAGCCAAGAGAACAGUAAUAGCAGCUCAAGGUGAUUUCAGCCUCCAUUGUGAUCAAGGCUCUCCUUUUCUGGUUGCUAUGGGACAGAGACCAAGG